CUGCAGUAUAAAGCUUGGUGCUGAAUCUAUUUCUUCCUCAUCAAAUCUGUCUUGUAUGAGUACGCGUAGGGUUUUAAACUCACUACUGAUACUGGGCCAGAACUCGCUGCUGAAAUGACGACAACUGCGGCUCUGCUGCUUGACGAAAGAUACAUAAUGCCCAUCAAUAGUGAUACCGCUUUGAGCAAUUUGACUAGAUAAGCCAUCACUCGGUAGUGGGAAAAUGGAGGCGGAAGUUUAGCUACUACUAGAUCUGCCGCUUUCUGACUGCUCGAAUACAUUAGCAUGGAGUAAUAGAAUAGGACGUGUGGUUCUAUUUUGUUGGUUUCUAGGACCGCCGUAAUGAUUAAUAGGGAUAGUCGGGGGCAUCAGUAUUCAAUUGUCAGAGGUGAAAUUCUUGGAUUUAUUGAAGACUAACUACUGCGAAAGCAUUUGCCAAGGAUGUUUUCAUUAAUCAGUGAACGAAAGUUAGGGGAUCGAAGACGAUCAGAUACCGUCGUAGUCUUAACCAUAAACUAUGCCGACUAGGGAUCGGGCGAUGUUAUCUUUUUGACUCGCUCGGCACCUUACGAGAAAUCAAAGUCUUUGGGUUCUG
rnacentral:ncRNA from 1 species